rnacentral:lncRNA from 1 species
ACCAGUGGGAUGCAAUCCAAUAGACAAGAAUCUCAUAUAGAAACUCACUUUUCCUUUGGACUUUAGAAAUCAAGCAACAUCAAUAAACAAGUAGCAUGAUGAAGAGAAAGGAACCAAAUAAAGGUAGCCACAUCCAAACUAGCAACUUCACAAUCUUCUUCAUAAUCUUCCCCAUGUAUCAGAUGACAUACUCCUUGAAUAGCUCAGAAUAAGGC